rnacentral:rRNA from 1 species
AUUGAACGCUGGCGGCAUGCCUUACACAUGCAAGUCGAACGGUAACGGGCCUUCGGGUGCCGACGAGUGGCGAACGGGUGAGUAAUGUAUCGGAACGUACCUUUCAGUGGGGGAUAACGUAGCGAAAGUUACGCUAAUACCGCAUAUUCUGUGAGCAGGAAAGCAGGGGAUCGCAAGACCUUGCGCUGAUUGAGCGGCCGAUAGCAGAUUAGCUAGUUGGUGAGGUAAAGGCUCACCAAGGCGACGAUCUGUAGCGGGUCUGAGAGGAUGAUCCGCCACACUGGAACUGAGACACGGUCUAGACUCCUACGGGAGGCAGCAGUGGGGAAUUUUGGACAAUGGGGGCAACCCUGAUCCAGCCAUGCCGCGUGAGUGAAGAAGGCCUUCGGGUUGUAAAGCUCUUUCGGCCGGGAAGAAAUCGUAUCAGCUAAUACCUGGUGCGGAUGACGGUACCGGCAUAAGAAGCACCGGCUAACUACGUGCCAGCCGCCGCCGCCGUAA